UGCAGAUUUUUGUCAAGCAUUAGAGUGGCUGGAGUUGGUGGAACAUUGGGUCAUCGAGAGUGAGACCUACAAGAAAAAGUUUCUAUCAGAGGUAGCUCCAAUGGGGAUCUUCCGAUGCUCAAGUCAGUCAUCUAGUCAACAGAUGGAAAAGGGGAGCAUUUGUGAGAGAGAUUUUGCAUACCUAGUGGUCUCUCUUUUUCUCCCUUUUAUGGGC
rnacentral:lncRNA from 1 species